UACGUAGGGCGCAAGCGUUGUCCGGAAUUAUUGGGCGUAAAGAGCUCGUAGGCGGUUUGUCGCGUCUGCUGUGAAAGUCCGAGGCUCAACCUCGGAUCUGCAGUGGGUACGGGCAGACUAGAGUGUGGUAGGGGAGACUGGAAUUCCUGGUGUAGCGGUGGAAUGCGCAGAUAUCAGGAGGAACACCAAUGGCGAAGGCAGGUCUCUGGGCCACAACUGACGCUGAGGAGCGAAAGCGUGGGGAGCGAACAGG
rnacentral:rRNA from 2 species